GACGAACGCUGGCGGCGUGCUUAACACAUGCAAGUCGUACGGUAAAGCCCUUUCGGGGGUCCACGAGUGGCGAACGGGUGAGUAACACGUGAGUAACCUGCCCACAACUUUGGGAUAACGCUAGGAAACUGGUGCUAAUACUGGAUAUGUGCUCCUGCUGCAUGGUGGGGGUUGGAAAGCUCCGGCGGUUGUGGAUGGACUCGCGGCCUAUCAGCUUGUUGGUGGGGUAGUGGCCUACCAAGGCGGCGACGGGUAGCCGGCCUGAGAGGGUGACCGGCCACAUUGGGACUGAGAUACGGCUCAGACUCCUACGGGAGGCAGCAGUGGGGAAUAUUGCACAAUGGGCGCAAGCCUGAUGCAGCAACGCCGCGUGCGGGAUGACGGCCUUCGGGUUGUAAACCGCUUUCAGCAGGGACGAAGCUUUUUGUGACGGUACCUGCAGAAGAAGCACCGGCUAACUACGUG
rnacentral:rRNA from 1 species